AUUGAACGCUGGCGGCAUGCUUUACACAUGCAAGUCGAACGGCAGCGGGGUAGUGCUUGCACUACUGCCGGCGAGUGGCGAACGGGUGAGUAAUAUAUCGGAACGUACCGAGUAAUGGGGGAUAACCAAUCGAAAGAUUGGCUAAUACCGCAUACGUCCUGAGGGAGAAAGCGGGGGAUCGCAAGACCUCGCGUUAUUCGAGCGGCCGAUAACUGAUUAGCUAGUUGGUGGGGUAAAGGCCUACCAAGGCGACGAUCAGUAGCGGGUCUGAGAGGACGAUCCGCCACACUGGGACUGAGACACGGCCCAGACUCCUACGGGAGGCAGCAGUGGGGAAUUUUGGACAAUGGGGGCAACCCUGAUCCAGCCAUGCCGCGUGUAUGAAGAAGGCCUUCGGGUUGUAAAGUACUUUUGUUAGAGAAGAAAAGGGAAGUGCUAAUACCACUUUUUGCUGACGGUACCUAAAGAAUAAGCACCGGCUAACUACGUG
rnacentral:rRNA from 1 species